GGCAUAUCCCAUUCUGUCAGUCUUCCUGUGAUUUCGUUUUUGUUUGCCACUCAAUUAGACAUCACUUUUAAACAUGGCUGCUUCCUUCUACAAACUAACUUUACCUUUAUUGUUUGAGACUAAAGGUGUGUAGAGGUUAUGUUUGUAUUCCAGCCAGAGGAACUAAUGGUAUAUGCUAAGGGCUGAGCCACACCAAAACUAGAAACAAGAUUUUUCAAUAAAUAACAGAAUCACAGGUUCACAGUGUGAUCAAAUAUUCUGCAACAACAAAGCAUGGUUUUUAUAUGUACUCAGAAAAACCAUACCUGCUGAUGUUGCUAUAUUGCCAUUUUCUUUUAUCCAGGAUUCACCUUUGUUUGAUCUCAUAAAGCAGUCCAAGGAUGGGGAAGGACCUGAUCACCUUGAGUCUGCUUGUUCUCUCAGCCUCCCUCUCCAGAGUAACCACACUGCAGCAGAUAUGUAUCUUUCUCCUAUAAGAUCUCCAAAGAAAAGAACUUCUACUACACGUGUAAAUUCUGCGGCAAAUACAGAGACGCAAGCAGCCUCAGCCUUCCAUACUCAGAAGCCAUUGAAAUCUACCUCCCUUUCCCUGUUUUACAAAAAAGUGUACCGUCUAGCAUAUCUCCGACUAAAUACACUGUGUGCGCGCCUUCUGUCUGAUCACCCAGAGCUAGAACACAUCAUCUGGACUCUGUUUCAGCAUACAUUGGAAAAUGAGUAUGAGCUCAUGAAAGA
rnacentral:lncRNA from 1 species